GCAGUGCUCCUGCAGCGUGUGCGUGGCCUCCCUACCCGGCCAGGGCAGGAUUGGGGCCCAGAGCCCCUCUCCCAGCCGCCGGGCGCCGCCCUGAAGAAGCCUGGCGGUUCUGGGAGACGCCCACGGUGGCACUUUGCAUCUACACGGCACAGUGGGGAGCACUGAGGGAUGCUACAAAAACAAGACCUUGCGUCAGGAGGGUUUUUUCCCCGCCCCAGUCGAAGUAGCAUUGCUUUACAACAGUGUGUAAGUGUCAGGUGUGCGUCCUUGAAAAUCGUGUGUGUAGAUGCUACGUUAACUUCCCAUGCAGUUGUCUCCUUUUAUUUACCUGGUAUACCCACUUCGCUUCUGGUAACCAUUCAUUGGUUUUAGAAUCUAAAAAUUUAUUUUUGUUUUAUGUAGCUCAUCCGUUUGUUUUCUCUACGGGUACAGAGGGGUGGAUGCUGAGAUAAGAGACCUCUGGAGAUGCUCCAACUCCCGAUCUGUUUGCCCUCUCAGCUAAGCAGACUUUUGAUGAACUGUGUCAAUAUAAUUUGGUAACAGCAUCUGAAAGGUCUUUGCAGGGGCUACUUCUCCUUGGAACAUUGAUUCUCUCUCCAUCUCUGCCUCCUCAAGAUCUGUGUUCAGGCCUCUGACUAAGAGAGUUGGUGUUCAGUCAUGCCACGACUUGUGUGACCCAAGUCCGGAACUUUCCUCCAGCUGGGUUCUGAUCACCAAUUACAAUGUGUGUUUAUGUCUGGACACAAGCUGGGAGUCCUAUAAUUCAACUCAGGUCUGACACUAUUUACCUGAAGAUAACAUCAAAUUCCACAGGGAUCUUUGAUUCAACUCUGAAGCCUGCAUCUCUGAAGCCACAUCUCCUCACACUUCCUUUCAAGUAAGGGAGGGCUGGAGUUGCUAUACUGCUGACAAACUUCAUGAUCCAAGAAAAACUGAAGACCCCAGAAAAUCUUAAAAAGUGAUUGCUGGACAGGACUGGGCAUAGCACAUCCUGGGCCAGUGGCAGGAUGGAGGUGGAGCAGGCUGUGGUCCUGUCUAGCCUGUUUGCAGAAGGGUAGGGUUCUGAAUCUGGCA